GUUUAAAAGACGUCUAUGCCCAACGUUGAAAAGACGUUGCAAAAUGGUUUAAAAGUGAAAGUUGUUUCAACGUCUAUUCGUAGACGUUGAAAAGACGUCUAUGUUUAGACCACAUUUCAACGUGAUUUUUUAAUACGGUAAUAUUUCGUCCUCUCUUGUGUGCUAUAUCAUUAUUUUAGAGGUUUAAAAAGAAACUACGUCCACAUUUGUAAGUUUACCACCGAUAUUAUAAAUCACGUUGAAAACGGGUCUAUACGCGAACCGGAGUUACACGUGUUUACAAGUAAUGUUUGAACCUGCCCGCAUUAUUAUGUCUUAAACGC
ensembl:lncRNA